GUCGUUCAUCCGCGGCCGUCGUCGCUCGAUUGCCACCACGCAUGCCACAGAGCAUCCCCAUCCCUAUAAGCACACCCCCUGGGAACCCUAGAUCGAGCUCGCCCGAUCCCCUCCUUUUCCCCAUCGCGCCCCCUCCUCAUCUGCUCGAAAUCGAGCGCAAGAGCUCGCGCGGUGAUUGCGCCGCCGUCGUCGUUGCCGUAGCCACCGGCCACCGUUCGCCGUCCGCUGAUGCCCAGAAGAAGCGCGUCGUCAUCCUCUUCUUCCACGCCGAGCGCCACCAGCUAGGACGCCCUCGUGCCGUCGCUUCCGUCGAUCCCCUCCGCGGGCAACCGUCGUUGUCCGUCGUCGACGCGCUCGACCCUGCCUCCCCCUCCGGUCGACGGAGAACGCCGCCAACACGCCGUCGUCACCAAGCCUCCCCCGAGCCCGCGAACGCACAUCUGCAGGGCCCGACGAUGGAGCCCAGGAGCCAGACGCCACCGUCGACGAAGACUACUACUGCUCGGGAGGUGCCUACUACUACGUGUAGGCCGCUGACGACGACCAGGAGUAGUUUAGGAGGAUCCCAGGCAGGAGGCCUGCGCCUCUUUUGAUCUGUACCCCAGUUUGUGCUAGCCUUCUUAAGUGAAAAUGGAAGGGAACACUAGAGGAGGUGGGCAUUCUGACGCAUUAAAGAACUACAAUGUGGGCAGAACAUUAGGUAUAGGCACAUUUGGAAAAGUGAGGAUUGCAGAGCAUAAGCAUACAGGGCACAAAGUUGCUAUAAAGAUUCUGAACCGUCGUCAAAUGAGAACUUUGGAAAUGGAAGAGAAAGCAAAGAGAGAGAUCAAGAUAUUGAGGUUGUUCAUCCACCCUCAUAUCAUCCGGCUUUAUGAGGUCAUUUACACACCUACAGAUAUAUUUGUUGUGAUGGAAUAUUGCAAGUAUGGUGAGCUAUUCGACUGCAUUGUUGAGAAAGGGCGGUUACAGGAAGAUGAGGCUCGUCGAAUCUUCCAGCAGAUUAUAUCUGGUGUUGAAUACUGCCACAGAAACAUGGUUGCUCAUCAUGAUCUAAAGCCAGAGAACCUGUUACUUGAUUCCAAAUACAAUGUGAAUCUUGCCGACUUUGGGUUAAGUAAUGUCAUGCAUGAUGGCCAUUUUCUGAAGACUGCCUGCGGGAGUCCAAACUAUGCUGCACCAGAGGUUAUCUCACGUAAAUUAUAUGCUGGACCUGAGGCUGAUGUUUGGAGCUGCGGGGUGAUACUUUAUGCUCUUCUUUGUGGCACUCUUCCAUUUAAUGAUGACAAUAUUCCCAAACUGUUCAAAAAGAUAAAGGGAGGCAUCUAUACCCUUCCAAGUCAUUUAUCUGCUCUUGCAAGGGAUUUGAUCCCAAGAAUGCUUGUUGUUGAUCCUAUGAAGAGAAUCACAAUUCGGGAAAUUCGAGAACACCCAUGGUUUCAGAAUCGCUUUCCUCGCUACCUGGCAGUGCCUCCACCAGACACGGCGCAGCAAGCCAAAAUGAUUGAUGAAGAUACACUUAAAGAGAUUGUCAACCUGGGGUAUGAUAAAGACCAUGUGUGUGAAUCAUUGUGCAAUAUGCUGCAAAAUGAGGCAACUGUUGCAUAUUACUUACUCUUGGACAAUCGGUUCCGUGCCACUAGUGUAGGGUAUCAGAUGUCUCUCUCAAUAUCUAUUGGAUACAAGCUUUGGUUACAAGCAACACCAAUGGAGAUACAAGGUUUGGGGAUCAGGAAGAACAGAAGGAGGAGGACAAGAGGUAGGGGAAGAGAGUCGCUGUGCCAAAGCCGUGAUCCACUGGAUGCCCUGGACGUCGCCUCUCCUAGGCUCUUAUCGCCUUGGUCAUUCCAGAAUGGGCCAAGCCCGUUUAGCUGGCCCAAGGGGCCAGCCCAAGCAUGUGAUAGUAGGAGGGCUCCUAACAUCCCCCUCCUUGAAAUGCGGCUUGACCCCAAGCCGACACCACCAAGAGCCGCCAUGAUCCCAUUGCAUGCGGCGUUCCUUGACUAGCUUGAAGUCUUGAUGGUAGUCGAAGUCGGGGUUGGCUUGAACGACAAGGUUGGAGUAGCCGUGGCCGAUGGUGACUCCAUCCCAAGAGGCGCCGCAGAAGUGGUCGUUGCCAACAUAGUCUUGAUCGAAGUUGAGAUAGUACUUGUGGUGGAUGGAGCCUUGCACGAUGACGACAACGACAUUGGUGAUGAAAACCCUCCCUCCUUGAAAAGUGCCUCGAUCGGAAGCUGAAGUCCCAUAGCCUUCCUGGAUGACUGUGAAGCAUCCUAGACCAUGAGGUGUGCCCCACACACAGAUUUGUCCACUCCUCAUGGACUUGCAUGACUGGCAAUAUAAUGGCAGCAAGAACCCCUGUAUUGCUAUGAGCUUGUCAAGUCUGCAUUCAAGCUCCAAUGUUCCAGGCAAGAAAUGGAUGGUCAUCCCCUGAUUUAGUUCGCCGCUGGCCAUUGGCUUCUCCAUUCCCAACUGGAUGCAUAUAGGAGUCGCAUAUGCAAGCCAAACUGCAAACAAAUAAUGCACUAGGGAAGUCAAUGCACAUGUACUGCAUAUGUAGCUUGCAAGGCCUCCAGGAUCCCACAAUUGCUCAAGGUGGUCGCCACUAGCUGGCGUAUCUGGAGUCCAGCAAAACAUUUGUUUAUGCCCAAAGGAGAAUGAUACACUACCAAAUAGACUGGAAUCUGAAUAAUGAAUCUCUGUUGCAAAUUGUACAGCCUGAAUCGCAAAUAGUUUGAGAGUGUCGAAAUACCAGCCAUGGUUAACCUCACAUAAUAUUGGUUCAGAAAGGGGUUGAGGCAACAUAAAAAUAUGUUGUGAAUUUUUGUCCCGCGAUUGAUGCUUGUCCCACUGCCAUUGCAUCGUGAUACCAGCUGGAGCAAAAGACAAUAAUGGCCAAAAUUGCACGAACUGAAUAUAGACACUACUUGGAAGUGUUGUACUUAGAGCACCCAAUCGCUGCUUGCUGUGAAGGAGCUUGUCAUGACCAUUGAAACCUGAAUCAUUUUUGCCCCGUUUCAAAAACCACGAGCAUGAGAGCUGCACUGGAAGUAUCCUUAUGCAAUUCCCAAGGAGAUUGGAGCACCGUUCCCAUGCAUUGUUAGUGUGAAAGUUGAUUGAAGCACAACCACUCCUUUAAAUUCUUCUUGACUCAAAAACAUCCAGUGCACUGACAUGCAUAAUAUGAAUAAUUCCCUGCAAUUUAUCAGAAAUAGGGCUGCAACCCAGAAAUUUUGUUCGAUCCAGAUAAAACUGAAAAACUUCACUUUGCUGCGGUACGUAGCAUGGACCAAACUGCAAGUCCUUGUAGUCAAACUGCAUCUGUUUAGUAUUGAGUGUUGCCUGGUCCAGUGGACGCUCGAAACAGAGAAACAACUCCCAGAUCUGAAUAGUACUACCCUCAAACAUGUAAACAACAGCAGCCAAAACUUCGUGCAGUUUCAAAUAUGCUUGAGCAGAGCCUCCUUCAAGGUAAUAUGUUGGCUGGACACAUGGAAUGCCUUCAUUCGUGUAAUUUGGUAGCUUCAGGCGAACAAUUUUGUGACUGAACUUGAACACCGAUGGUGCCUUUUGAGCACAUAAUUUAUAAGAGGACUGCAUAAAGCAGACUUCAUGUAAUAGUUUCUUAGCGAAACAUGAAUCAUCAGUGUUCUGUUGCAAAGACGACAAGCAGAAAAUAUGAACACGGGGUAUCGUUAUGCAGUGUCGAGGGAGGUUGCACUUAAGAUCACCAGCAUGGCAUAAUUCCACUUGAAAGGUACUACCUAAUUCGUCCACAAUCUGUAGUGCCUUUGUAUGCACUCUAUAGAUUUGUAAUCCAUUAGCAAAAUCAUAGAUGAUAUCCCAAUGGGCAAAAUAUUCAGCUACUGCCAUCAGUUGCACUAUAGAGCAUUUAUAGGACUGCCGACCCUAACAACCUAUGUUGCUGAAAUCCAAAUAAAUCCAACGACCAGCGUGUGGUGCAGUAUCAAUGAGCCUACGGUUUGUUCCAAGGAAUCUCAAGCUUAACCAUGCAUCAACACUUAUGCUUGCAGACAUAUCCGCAUUGAGAAAUGCCAAUUCAUUCAAUGCUUUAGUAUUAGAUGGUGCCUGAUCCGGUGGACUCCUAGACUGCAACUGUGCAUUUGACAAACAACUGAUGUACUCUUCCAUGGCAAUCACCUCACAACAAGAAACUUGAUGGAAAACCACAUCUCUGAAUAACCUCAAAACGAGUUCAGAACUGAACCAUAAAACUUCAUGUGAUUGACAACAUAUACCUGAACAGGGCUCCUCCUGAUAACUUGCAUCUGAAUGAAACUUGAAAGACGGCCACGGGCUAGGCCUCACAGGUGUCCACUGUGUCUGGUCCUCACUCGCACAAGUGACGGUCAUGGUUGCUUCCUGAUUCCGUGUUGUAUCGAUGGUAGGCACGAGGUUUUGCUCUUGUCCACAAGAUGAACAGGUUUCACCCAUGCGCCAUCCUGGAUUAGACUGCCUGUCGAACACAUGGUGAGCACCGGCAAAGCAGGGUCGCUGGAGAAGAUGAGGGCGACGUCGAGGUCUGCCUUGCUCAUCACUUGGGGGGAGGUGUCGACAGAGAGGGCAUCGAGCUCCUGCACGCCGGCCUUGGGGUCGACGUCGGUGGUGGUCUUCACAUGAGAAACGACCUCGACACUAGAGGCCAUUGCCUGCUCCGGGGCGAGCUGCUCGACUGCUUGGUGGAUGGGGACGACCGUGGGCUCGAGGUCGACGGCGGUGGCGGGAUCAUGGACCUCGUCAAUGUUGUCGAUGGUGUCGACCUGGGUCGAGCACUCCGUCGAACAGGUGAUAGGCAACAUCGCGAUGCAGACCGGGGUUGCAUCAUGGGCGACCUUGGGAAUCUCCAGGGCCUUCGUGGUGGAGCAGGAGACGUUGGGGACGAGCAUGGACGAGGUGUGCGUCAUGGUUGACGCUGCCGGAUCGACAAGCGAGGUAACCACAUGAGGGUCACCAGCGCUUGCAACACCCAAUAGUGCGCUCAUCUCCUCUGCCUUAGCACAUAAUCUCUUGUGAUACCACAACAACUGCUCGUUGGCAGGCAUGGCAUCCCACUCCGGAGGUAAGUCGGCAGGCAUGUCGUCGUCGCCGGUGAAACGGAUGAAUCGGUGUGGAAGAAAAAAUGGGGAAAAUUGGAUGGUGAAAGGGUGGUGGCCUGGCUCUGAAUACCAGAUGUAGGGUACCAGAUGUCUCUCUCAAUAUAUAUUGGAUACAAUCUUUGAUUACAAGCAACACCAAUGGAGAUACAAGGUUUGGGGAUCAGGAAGAACAGAAGGAGGAGGACGAGAGGUAGGGGAAGAGAGCCGCCGUGCCAAAGCCGUGAUCCACUGGAUGCCCUGGACGUCGCCUCUCCCAGGCUCUUAUCGCCUUGGUCGUUCCAGAAUGGGCCAGGCCCGUUUAGCUAGCCCAAGGGGCCAGCCCAAGCAUGUGAUGGUAGGAGGGCUCCUAACAACUAGUGGCUAUUUGGGGGCUGACUAUCUACAAUCAAUGGAGUUUUAAUCAGUUUACUUCAUCGGAAUCAGCAAGCCCAAGUACCAGGCAGUAUCUUCCAGCAAGCAAUGAUUCUCAAGGUAGUGGCUUGCGGCCAUAUUACCCCGUUGAAACAAAAUGGGCUCUUGGGCUCCAGUCUCGACCUCAACCUCGUGAGAUAAUGAUCGAGGUUCUAAAGGCACUUCAAGAAUUAAAUGUCUGCUGGAAGAAGAAUGGACACUACAACAUGAAAUGCAGGUGGUGCCCUAUGUUUCCUCAGCUUUACAAGACCAAGGAUGACAAGUACCUGCUAGAUAUGCAGAGAGUUACUAGACCUCAGCUCCUCUUCCUGGAUUUUUGCGCGGCCUUCCUUACCAACCUUAGGGUUCUAUAGUAUGGUGCCUGCUCUGGUUGAGUGAUGAAUAGUGAGACAUAUGACUGUCAGUGAUGAAUAAGUUGGUGCCUGUUCUGGUUGAGUGAUGAAUAGCGAGACAUAUGACUGUCAGCGAUGAAUAAGUGAUGGUGUGUAAAUAGGUGGUGGUGUGUUUCAUCUUCGUUUUACCCAGUCCCUGACAGCGAACCGUGUUGUUUGUGUGACUAGUCCAGUGUGAAGCACCAAAAUGUUAAGUGGUUAUUAUAAGUAAGACUUAUAUGGUAAA